rnacentral:rRNA from 1 species
UACAGAGGUCCCAAGCGUUGUUCGGAUUUAUUGGGCGUAAAGGGUGCGUAGGCGGUGUGUCGCGUCGGCCGUGAAAACCUGCAGCUUAACUGUGGGCUUGCGGUCGAUACGGGCAUCACUGGAGUUCGGGCAGGGGAGACUGGAAUUCCUGGUGUAGCGGUGAAAUGCGCAGAUACUCAGGAGGAACACCGGUGGCGAAGGCGGGUCUCUGGGCCGAUACUGACGCUGAGGAGCGAAAGCGUGGGGAGCGAACAGG